AAGCGGUUUUUUCGGGCAGUUAUCAAAAGAGGGCAAUUGCUUCGAAUUUGAUCAAUUGAGAUAUCUGGAAACAAUAACAAUAUCAAUAUAACAAUAAUAUAUAUUUCAUUCGAAUUCAAAGUGGAUUCUUAUUUUCUAUAUUCUGUAUUCUUUUUAGAUUCAAUUAGAUUCAAGGGCUAAGCACUAAAUCAAAAAAAAAAAAAAAAACAAAGAAUAGAUUCAUGGGCCCUUACUUUAUAAUAUAAUGAAAGGCAUGCUUGAUAGAAAGAUUAG
rnacentral:lncRNA from 1 species